CAAGGGGCUUCCCUCCUGGCUAAAGUUGGUAAAGAAUCCACCUACGAUGCAAGAGAUCCAGGUUCAAUCCCUGGGUCGGGAAGAUACACUGGAGAAGGAAAUGGCAACCCACUCCAGCAUUCUCGCCUGGAAAAUCCCAUGGGCAGAGGAGCCUGGUGGGCUACAGUCCAUGGGGUCGCAGAGUUGAAUAGGACUAAUGCGACUAAACCACGACACAAUAGGUGUGUGUUUGUCUUAAUUUUAAAAUAUUGUCUUGAACGUGACUUGCCGUUCCUCCAGGAUCUUCUAGUAAAGUCAGUGCCCCUUGGCUGCCUUGCAGCUUGGAGAGGCCCAAGCGCGUGGCUGACUGAGCACUUGAGGAUAAAUCUGGGCCUGUGCAAGGAAAAGGAGGACAGCUGCUUGUCAGGAUCUGGCUCAGCUUGUGUAUUCUAGCAUCAUUGGGUCCCCUUUCUGGGGAUCGGUGUCCACUGAGCACCAGAGGUGAACAGGGGGAAAGGAUAGGGAAGUGGGCCCACUGGACCCUGACUUCUGGGGGCUCCUGAGCUCCCAGAUCUGUGGUCCUCGGAUGUCACUUCACCUCGGAUGAGUGAAGUGGCCUCUAGUCCUGGCCAGUUAGGUGUUUCCUGGAGCCACACAGGACAUGGCAGGCUCCCUGAUGUGCUCAGGGAGUGGGGGUAUGGACAGCAAAGGGACCUUCAGUAGAGAGGGACGGACAGGAAGGAGGCUGAGGCCACUGAAGACAGGUCAAAGAAGCAGGUGCAUCUUUACCUGGAGAAGAAGGCUUAAGAUGUGUUAGAACAGGCCUUGGACCUUCUAAAGUUCUGUUAGGUAGAGAAAGGAUCAUACCCAAAGUUUGGCCAAAUCAAACCAAUAGGGGAGAGAUUCCAGGAGACAGCCAGGUGCCCAAGCAAAGGAAGACAACUUUCUACCACAUGGAAUUAUCCUAAAGGGGAAUGAGGUCCCUUGUGAGGGAGUGAGCUCUUGGUCACUGGAAGGGUUUAACCUCGCCUUCCAAGAAGCAAAGAUUCCUACGUGGAAGGAGGGCUUUCUGGAUGGCCUGUCCCUUGGGUCAUGCCAUCUGACUUAUAAAAAGGAGAAUAUAUAUCCUCAUGGAAGAAGGACCGUACCAGGGUCAGGGGGUGACGAAUGAAGAAGAUACGUUGGAACACCUUCACAAAACUCAGUGUGGGGGCUUAUGGCUGCCUGCUGCCCCCCACCCGCCAUCCCAGUGACCUACAGCAGCUUGGGGCCAGAGAAACAGGACUCAGUGUAGAAAAGGCCCUGAUUGAUUGUGAAAUCCCGGAGGUGUGACAGAACAGUAAUGAAGCAACAGGAAGUUAAGACUGUCUCUCUCUCAGGCCUUCAUCCUAGCCCAGGGCCCGCCCUUCCCGAGGGGAGCAGAGGUCCCCGCCACACCCGGCACACCUCUGCACAGACCCCCUUUCCUCCUCUCCUGGGACCUCACCGCCGGCACUUCCUGCCUGUGCAGUUUCCAGAAACGGGCACAACUGGCUUUCCCCUUGCAGUUUCCCCUCUGAGAGCCGGCGGAGGGAGGGCUUCUGAAGGGAAAGUGAGAGGGGGACAGGGAGGCCUCCGCUGUCAACUCCCUUCAUCGGAAGAGUCUGUCCCUCAGAACGCAAAGGUCCCGCAGGAGGGGAACGCGACCCGCAUGCAGAGGCUCCGAGGCCCCCCGGGCCCUGGGACAGGUUCUAGAACCAAGGAUGUGUGUAUCCGAGGCCCCACACCUCCCAGUCCCGCCGGGACACUCCCCUCUGUCCAAACCCUGACCGGAGCCACGGGGCAAACGCGACUCACAGGCUCCCUCUUCCGGCCUCUGCAGCCCCUGCUCCCAAUCAAGGUGGAAAGAACGGCCCCAGCAAAGCGAGGUUUGAAGCACUGAGGAUGGAGUCAAACAUGCAUUUCCAGCAAUUGAUGGGGAGAGAAUUCCCCGGGGGAGGUCCUGCUCAUUCUCCCUCCUCACCACACCCUGGGCAGGGAUGGCAGUGACCUUGAGGAGCAGCGCCACAGGGCCCAACCAAAACACAUGUGCCCAGAAAUAGCCUAAAAAAUAAAGACAUCUCAAAUCUGGACAAUUCUGGAAAACCUCAGAACUGAUCACUUUAUCUCCACCAGACAUGCGCGCGCGCACACACACACACACACACACACUGUCUCUCUCUCUCACACUCACACACACACAGAGUUAUCAGACUAAUGAUACACAGGCUGAUGUCAUUCUUCCUUGUAACAAUAGGAUACCCAGCAGUGCACCAACGAGACCCAGCAAAGGUUUUCC
ensembl:lncRNA